UACGUAGGGUGCGAGCGUUAAUCGGAAUUACUGGGCGUAAAGCGUGCGCAGGCGGUUUUGUAAGCCAGAUGUGAAAUCCCCGGGCUUAACCUGGGAAUGGCAUUUGGAACUGCAAGGCUCGAGUGCGGCAGAGGAGACUGGAAUUCCUGGUGUAGCAGUGAAAUGCGUAGAUAUCGGGAGGAACACCAGUGGCGAAGGCGAGUCUCUGGGAUGAUACUGACGCUGAUGCUCGAAAGCUAGGGGAGCAAACGGG
rnacentral:rRNA from 1 species